UCAUGGCAGCAGAAGAGACUGAAGAGUUCCUAUAAAAGGCGUCUCUGGCCCUGGCUCCUCACACAAUCUGCCUCCUCAAGGACCAGCUGAUCAGCAUCUGUGAUCUGGUUGAACUUCUGCAGAAAUGUCCUGCCAGCAAAGCCAGCAGCAGUGCCAGGCCCCUAAGUGUCCCUCUAAGUGUCCUCCCAAGUGUCAGACCCCUAAAUGUCCUCCAAAGUGCCCACCCAAGUGCCCCCCUAAGUGCCCUCCUAAGUGCCCUCCCCAGGCUCCCUGCCCUCCUCCAGUCUCUUCCUGCUGUGGCUCUAGCUCUGGAGGAUGCUGCAGCUCUGGGGGAUGCUGUGGGUCCAGCUCUGGGGGGUGCUGCAGCUCUGGCUCCGGGGGUGGCUGCUGCCUCUUUUCCCAUCACAGGAGAUCCCACAGACGUCGGCACCAGAGGUCUGACUGCUGUGACAGUGGCAGUGGGCACAGCCAGCAGUCUGGGGGCUGCUGCGGGAGCUCUGGGGGCUGCUGCUGAUCACCUGGUUCUCCCUACACCAAGAAUCAGCAAUGUGGAACCCAAGGCCAACAAUGACCACUCUUCUGUCUGCAGUUUCACCUACUUCUCCCUACAAUGCUGUGUCAACCCUGCUCUACCCAAGCCCUGUUGACCCUGUGCCUUGAAUCUUCCUGGCCUUAGUCACACUGAUCAUUUAGAACAAUAAAUCUACAUUCACAGUGA